CUACGUAGGGGGCGAGCGUUGUCCGGAAUGAUUGGGCGUAAAGGGCGCGUAGGCGGCCCGGUAAGUCUGGAGUGAAAGUCCUGUUUUUAAGAUGGGAAUUGCUUUGGAUACUGCCGCGCUUGAGUGCAGGAGAGGUUAUCGGAAUUCCCGGUGUAGCGGUGAAAUGCGUAGAGAUCGGGAGGAACACCAGUGGCGAAGGCGGGUAACUGGACUGCAACUGACGCUGAGGCGCGAAAGUGUGGGGAGCAAACAGGAUUAGAUACCCUGGUAGUCCACACUGUAAACGAUGAAUGCUAGGUGUAAGAGGUAUCGACCCCUUCUGUGCCGGAGUCAACACAAUAAGCAUUCCGCCUGGGGAGUACGGCCGCAAGGUUGAAACUCAAAUGAAUUGACGGGG
rnacentral:rRNA from 1 species